AAGAACCACUUUCACCCUAUGGAUUUUACCCCUUCAGGUGGAUCAAUCAAUGUCCACACAUUGUUGAUCUUCAUGGACUCCAUUUUGAAUUUCAUAGCUUCAAGUCAUUUUUUAGAGUCGGACCUCUAUAUUGCAUCCAUAUAGGUGACUGGAUGCUCAUUGUUCUGAUCGAGCUCCACAGGAUCUCCAUCUCGAAUCAAGAAACCUAGGUAUCUAUCUAGCUAACACAGUACUCUACCGGAUCAUCUUAAGGAUGUUUGUAUAUUGGGCUCCAGAUUUGACUUUAUCAAAUUCAGUUUAGAUUCAGUUACUAGGGUCGGUUCUUUUAUCUAUCG
rnacentral:lncRNA from 1 species